CAGAAAGGCUAUAGGGGUAAUAAACAGAGUCCUUACCUGUUUCCAAAAUAACUUUCUUUGGAACCAAAUAAACAAUAUUUUCUUAAUUAUACGCUUCUUUGAUUUCAGACCUUUUCUCACAAUAGAUUUUAUUUCACCAUCUCUAGCUUUCAGUUGGCUUUUCUCUAUACACUUAAUUUUUAUCAUCUUUCAGCUUUCCAUAUGGCAGACAAGCAUAACACUAGUCCAAUUCUCCUUUAAUUUUUUUGGCUUUUUUUUUUUUCUUUUGUGGAGAACGGGGACUCAUUAUGUUGUCCAGGCAGGUCUCAGACUCCUGGGCUCAAGCUAUCUUCCCAGCUCUUCCUCCCUAAGUGCUGGGAUUACAGGCAUGAGCUGCCACACCCAGCUCUCCUUUAUUUUCAACUAAUCAGAUUGCUCUAUUAGAAAAUGUCAUUAGUUUAGGGGUUUUUUUAAGGGAGAAUUUUGUUUCGUUUCUGUUUUUGGAUUUUUGUUUCGUUUUGUUUUGCUUUGUUUAGUAUAAAGUGUCAUAGGUCAGGUUCCCUGGGAAACAUUCUGAGAUGGGGAUUUGUGGGCAGGAGGAAUUUUACAGAGGAGUGCUCUUGAGAACAAUGACUAUAAGGAAUAAAGAGGCAGGAUUGGGCAAAGGGAAUAACUGAGUAGCUGCGCGCAGCCUUAACAGAGGCCUCAGCUGAUCUUAUGGGAGCUGAGUUUGAGUUUUCAUAUUGGGACAAGAGAACCAUUCCUUUGUACGUUGCAUCAACCAGUAUUGGAUAUGGACAGCAGUGGGUGGGGAGUUAGGGCGCCCCAGUCCUGAAGGGGGUAUCUGGGUGAAACUCCACAGUGUCUAGUACACUGAAUAGUCAUGAAUUUAAUGAGGAUAUGUUGAGUUACAUGUUUUUGUUUGGAUUUGUUUUGUUUUGUCUUAAUUCUUACUUAGACUCAGCUCUUGUAAUCAGGAAACUAACUUCUUCCUUCAGCUCAGUGAAAUGUUCCUUCAUUUUGGAUAUAGUAACCACUUUUCCACCCUUUCCUUUUUUUCUUCUGGAUGGCUUAUUAUUUGCAUGUUCCAUUUCCUGGAUCUGUGCUUUAAGUCACCUACGUUUUCACUCAUGUGUUUCCAUCUUUGCGGCAUGUUGUAUUUCCUUUUACUUAAUCCUGCAGCUCUCUAAUUCAGUUGCUAUCAAGAAUUAUGCCAUUUUUCCCUCAUUCAUCUAAUAGCUAUUUCAGUGCAGACAUCAUGAACGUAGGUCCAGAAGAUCUUUGUGGUGUUUCAAUGACACAUCUUUGAGAAUGCUCAUUAUUUUCAUCUUCAUCUCUCCGUCUCUUCUAUCAGCAAAUGAGUCGUCUGUCCUAACCAUCUGGGUUUCUCUCCUCUAGUUCCUGAAUCCCACUGGAGAAGCCAUAGUUUUUCUUGAAGGUCAUGUUCUAUUAGUUUGUAGAGGUCAGAUGUUUGGUUCUGGGCAAGGAGAAAGUCCAAAAUGGUAGGGAAGUUUAUCUUCCUGUUACCAUCUGCUGAGGCACUGAAAGGACUGGCAGGACACCCAACCUACCAGAUGCAGAAGCUCAUCUGCUAGUUUCUGCCUCACUCCUCCAGGGCUACCAUGAUUAGCAGAAGUAGAGGGUCCUUCCAUGGACCACAUCCUGAUGAAGAUAUGUGAAGGGCUUCCUUCAGGAGGCACACAAUCUGCUCUCUUUGCCCAGACCUUGAAAAGAGGCUGGCUUUCUCUUUCUUUGCUCCUUCACCUCUAACUCAACCCUCAGAUGUCUCAGCAUCCCCAUUAGCGUCAGGUUCACUAUCCCACUGGUGGCCUUGGUACCUCAUGGCUUGAAGGGGCUGAAAAGGGAAAAAGUGUUAGGGGUAGACACUCAGGCACGAUCCCCAAAGAAUCCCCCUGACCAUGUUUUUCUUAGGUUCUUCUUCUGAUGUGAGCUGGUCUCAUUUUCCUUUUCAAAUGCUAAGUUUCUUGAUAGCAGGAUCACAUCCCCUCCGCCACUGCAUUUCUCUCUGCAGCUACCACAAGUGCCAGGCCAUUGUAGACACUCAAUAAACAGGGGCUGGCCUUGACAACAAAUCCUGUGAUCCUAUUUGGUGCAUUUCAUAACCUUUCUGGCUAAAAGGCACAGUCCAACUGGCUGGAAUACCAUCUGUGAAACAUGCCAGAGUAUCUAACUCAGGGAGGCCCAUGCAUGUCUACCCACUUAUCUUCCAAGAAUCAGGUGAUGCUGGAAAACUGAAUGCUUAGUGGAGUUGGCGCCAGUACCUUGGGGGAUAAGGAGAGGAAGUGUGGCAUUGGAUUUAGCAAGAGAUUGGAGCUCCAAUUCCAGUCUUUCCACUUACCAGUCAAAUGAUUUAUCUUCUUUGAACUUCAAUUUAUUCACAUAUAAAGUAGGUUAAGAAAAUAGUCACUUCUUCACAAGGCUGUUACAGGGAUUAAAGGAGAUCAUGAAUUAACAUGCCUGCUACACAACAAGAGCUCAGUCACUGUGAGCUUCCAGCAUUCUUGUUAUGACCAUUAUUGUUACAGUGGGGAGAGGGAGAUAGGCAGGUCAAUAGUUGAGGGGCAGAAACCAGGGAAGAGGAAGAGGAACGGAGAAAAGAAUGAGAAAGGGAGGACCUUAACUCUGAGUCUUCACCCAGAGAUCUUGAAAACAUUGGUUAUUUAAGGAGAUUUUAAUUCCUUUUCCAGUAAUAGUGACAUUUCUACAGACUGGGUCUGUAUUUUGUUUCCAUUUUCCUAAAUGAUGUCACAUCAAACCUCCUAAGAGAGUGCCUUUCCCACGCAGUCACCUCAAAUAAAGACAGAGGGAUGGAGUGGAUGGGAAGAGGUGAGAUGGGGCAGAAGUAAUGCAGCCCCCAGCUCGCCAGCAGGUGCCCAUUGUUGGAAUUCUUCGGCUGUAAUGGUCAUUCCCAUUUCUCCCAUGGAGAAAGACAGCACCUCCUUUGACAUUCUUUGUGGGUAAGGUGAAAUCAGGGCAGGAGGAGCCACAGCCCAUCACUUUCUGAGUUGACCAGAGAUCUCUCAGGGGCAGCCUGGGCUCCUGUACCAGAUGGCCCAGGUUCUAAUUCUACUUCUUCCAUUGAGUAGUUGCGUGACCUCAGGCAAGGUACUUAACCUCUGUGUGUCUCAGUAAAAGGGUGCUUUAUUAACAAACUUUUAUAUUGCACUAUUUAAAGGACUUUACAAAUACAAAUUCAUUUAGUCCUUAUAGCCAUAGAAGGUAGGUCAGGGCCAGGUGCUGUGGCUUGUAAUCCCAGCACUUUGGGAGGCCAAGGCGGGUGGAUCACUUGGGGUCAAGAGUUCAACACCAGCCUGGCCAACAUGGUUGAAACCCUGUCUCUACGAAAAAAAUACAAAAAUUAGCCAGGCAUGGUAGUGUGUAAUUACAUGGUAGCCUGUAAUUUCAGCUACUCGGGAGGCUGAGGCACAAGAAUCACUUGAACCCAGGAGGCGGAUGUUGCAGUGAGCCAAGAUCAUGCCACUGCACUCCCACCUGGGCAACAGAGUGAGGCCCUACCUCAAAAAAAAGAAGGUAGGCCAGACAAAAUGUGGUAAAGAUUAAAUGGUUCAUAUAUGCAACGUGCUUAGAGGCCCCUGUUUGGUACAUGGGAAAUGUAAGCGCGAUCCAGUGUUGUCAUCAUUAUUGUAAAUGCUAUCCAUUAGCUGCCAUCAUCUUCUUCUCCUUCAUCUUCCAGGGAUUCUGUUGCGGUAUAGCACUUGAGGGCAUUUUCUCCCUCCUCAUUCCACCACCAAACUCUCCUCAUUUUUUGGAGGGGGGCAUAUCUAAGUUUAUUUAUUUAUGCUAUUUUUUUUUUUAGCAAUUUCAACUUUUAGAUUUAGGGGCUACAUAUGCAGGUUAGUUAAAUGGGUAUACUGUGUGAUGCUGAUGUUUGGGGUAUAGAUGAUCCCAUCACCCAGGUAGUGAGCAUAGGAUUCAAUAGGUAGUUUUUUUUAGCCCAUGCUCCCUUUCCUCCCUCCUGCUCUAGCAGUCUACAGUGUUCAUUGUUUAUGUCCAUGCAUACUCAAUAUUUGGCUCCCACUUACAUGUGAGAAUGUGUGCCAUUUGGUUUUCUGUUUCUGUGUUAGUUUGUUUAGGAUAAUGGCCUCCAGCUGCAAACAGGUUGCUGCAAAGGACAUGAUUUUGUUCUUUUUAUGGCUGCAUAGUAUUCCAUGACGUAUAUGUACCACAUUAUCCAAUCCACAGUUGAUGGGCACCUAGGUUGAUUCCAUGUCUUUGCUAUUGUGAAUAGCUCUGCAAGGAACAUAGAAGUAUAUAUAUAUCUCUUGGAUAGAACAACUUAUUUUCCUUUGGGUAUAUGCCCAGUAAUGGGAUUGCUGAGUGGAAUGCUAGUUCCAUUUUUAAGUUCUCUGAGAAAUCUCCAAACUGCUUUCCACAGUGGCUGAAAUUGUACAUUCCCACCAGCAUUGCAGAAGCAUUCCCUCUUCUCCACAGCCUCACCAGCAUGUUAUUUUUUGACUUUUAAUAAUAGCCAUUCUGACCGGUGUGAGAUGGUAUCUCACUGUGGUUUUUAAUUUACAUUUUUCUGAUGCUUAGAGAUGUUGAGCAUUUUUUCAUGUUUUUUGGUUGCUUGUAUGUCCUCUUUUGAGAAGAGUCUGUUCCUGUCCUUUGUCCAUUUUUUAAUGGGUUGUUUGUUCUUUGCAUGUUGAAUUGUUUAUGUUCCUUAUAGAUUCUGGAUGUUAGACCUUUAUAGGAUGCAUAGUUUGUGAAUAUUUCCUCCCACUCUGCAGGCUGUCUGUUUACUCUGUUGAUGGAGUCUUUUGUUGUGCAGAAGCUCUUUAGUUUAGUUAGAUCCUGCUUAUUCAUUUUUGCUUUUGUUGCAAUUGCCUUUGUGGACUUAGCGAAGAAUACUUUACAAGGAUGAUGUCUAGUAAAUAUUUCCUAGGUUUUCUUCUAGAAUUUUUACAGUUUGAGGUCUUACAUUUAAAUCUUUAAUCCAUCUUAAGUUAAUUUUUGUAUGUGGUGAAAGACAGGGGUACAGUUUCAUUCUUCUGCAUAUGCCCAGCCAGCGAUCCCAGCACCAUUUAUUGAACACUCUCCCUGUUUUUGAGACACAGUCAUUUUAGUACUUCCAUCACAUUCUUGCCUCCCCUUGACACUGCUUACCUUUACCAUCUUUGUGUUCUGAAUCCCUGCUUCUUCCAGCUAAUUUAAAUGGGUUCCAACUCUCCCCAGGCCCACAGUGUGCCAAGCACAGUGCUAGAUAUUCUCACCUACACAUAUUCUAGGGCUUGGGGAAGCUGGGUGCAAACAUCCAUCCAUCUCCAAAACCCAGUCCCAUCCUAUUUUAUCAAAUUAUUUUAAAAUAUUCCACUCACCUUCCCAACUUUGUUAUUCAUCACUCUUAAACACUGAACUGAUUUGCUUACAAGGCAGAUCAUCUAAAUGUUUAAAAUAAAGAUUCAUGCUAACUUAAUGUAGCUAUGUAUGAUUCUCAGUUGUCUGUAUCUUUUAAUUUUUUAAAAAAGAUAGUAUGUGAGCUGCUAUGUAUCAUGUAAUGUGCCUUCUUGACCAGUGGUAGGUUCUUAUUCAAGCAAAUAACCUUAGAUAGGACUAGUGACAUGAAUGUAUUUGCUAUGUUAAGAGGAAAAGCUGGUUACAAAACAUAUGUAGAAUAGCAUGCUAUUUUAUACAUCUGCAAAGAUAUAUACCAAUGCCAUCACAUUGGCUAACUUGUAGAAAAGGAAAAAAUUAUUUUUCAGGGUAUUCUUCUUAGUUUUGCUUUUUGUAUAUUCUAAUUUUUCUUUGUUUUGAGUAUGUACUGCUUUUAUAAUGUCACAAAGAAGUACAAGAAACCAUAUUUUGAUGGGAAACAUGGUUGGAACUUAGCCAGCUGAAACCAUCCUCAAUAAAGCCCUUCGUUUUUUGUUUUGUUUUAUUUUAUUUUUUUAAGAUAAAGUCUCACUUUGUUGCCCAGGCUGGAGUGCAGUGGCAUGAUCACUGCAGCCUCGAACUCCUGGGCUCAAGCAAUCCUCUUGCUUCAGCCUCCCGAGUAGCUGGGACUACAGGUGUGUGCGACCAUGCCAGGCUAAUUUUUGUGGGGGCGAGUAGAGAUGGAGUCUUGCUAUGUUGUCCAGGUUGGUCUUGAACUCCACAAGCAAUCCUCCCAUCUUGGCCUCCCAAGGGGCUUGGAUUACAGGCAUGUGCCCCCACACCUGGCCCUAUUAAGCCUUUAAUCUGCUGUCUCAUCAGGCUGUGCACUUGUCUGAAAGAUGGCUCUGUUUAUUGUGUCCUACCAUGUUGUUAAUUACUUUGAACUCAAAACAUCUGGGUGGCAAUGUCUAUAGCUAUUUAAGAUUCUUGUUUUCAUGUUUUGAAUACACAGAAAGGUAUAUAAAACUUUUUCUGAUGAUAAUGAUGAAAUCAAGUCCUAUGUGUUGAAGGCAAAAUUGACUUCCCUAGCUUGGUGCAUGAAGAAAAACAAAGGUGGAGCUAAGUCCUCCCACUCUGCCCCACCAACAGCAUCUUAGGAUGCAGGGCACACUGAAGGCCCUUGGCCAUGUCACAAGCAAUCUCAGAUGGAGGGUACUUACUCUCUCAGCCCAUUUUCUUCCUUGUAUAACUGUGCAGUUUCUUAAACUACCCUUUGCCUAACUACAUAUUUUAAUCACAUUCAUUAAUUUUCAAAGUGCCUAUUUUUCUUAUCAUUCUAGAAGUACACUUCAUAUACUGAAAGCUAAUGAGCAUGUGUUCAGGAAAUAGUGAGGAGUUGAAUUUAGAUUUUUUAUUAAAUUUGUAUUUUUUUCUAUUUACAUUUUUCUGAUUAAAAAUGUGGCUUGUAUUUUGUUUACUUCUACAGGAAACAAAGAGGGUGGUUAUGUCUACUCAAAACCAAGCAUGUAUCUGAAAAAGUAGAAUUUCAAUUACAUAUCCAGAUAUUACAUCUUUUUGCUUUUUAUUUUGUUUUGUUUUUUGAGACAGAGUGUCACUCUGUCACCUAGGCUGGAGUGCAGUGGCACCAUCUUGGCUCACUGCAACCUUGGCCUACCGUGUUUAAGUGAUUCUCCUGCCUCAGCCUCUCAAGUAGCUGGGAUUACAGGCGCAGGCCACCAUACCCGGCUAAUUUUUGUAUUUUUAGUAGAGACAACAUUUCACCAUGUUGGCCAGGUUGGUCUCGAACUUGUGGCCUCAAGUGAUCCACCUGCAUCGGCCUCCCAAAGUGUUGGGAUUAUGGGUCUGAGCUACCACGUCCAGCCCCGCUAUUAUAUCUAUUUAAUACCAAUACAUGAAGAGCUGGGUUGGUGUUUGUUUGCUUUGCUUUUUGUUUGGUUGAUUGACAUUAUAUAGAAUGCCACAGUGGAACCGAAAACCUCCUCUCUACUUCAAAAAUUAGAAUAAAAUGAAUUUAAAUUUUUUCUUAUACUUUUCUCAGGUGCCUUUGAAAAAUAUUAAGGGCACUAGGUUAAAGCUAUUAAAAGGCAUAUGUUUGUAAGUAAGAAUUGUAAGAACUGACAGAACCGAAUAUUAAGAAUUACUUUAAAAGCUAAAAACUUUAAAGAAAUAUUAGCCUGGAAAAGUGGAGAAUAAGGGUGAUUUAACAAUUAGUUCCAAAUAAAUAACAGAUUGGUAGAGGGUAGACAUCUUGUUGCCAUCCCACUUAAAGACAAGGACUCUUGAGAAUUGCCUUUAGAUUCUAUCAUGCCUUUGAUCACACAUAACACAGUGCUGGACACGUAGUGAAUGUCCUUCAACACCUCCUAUUCAGCAUACUUCCCAUAUGUAUGCAGGCACUGUGUGACUGACCACCUGGGGCAGGUAAACAGAGCUGCACCAUGCUGCCACAGAGCUGGACCCAAAGUGUUCUGAGAAGUGUCCACAUAACCCAGGCAAGCAUCAAGGAAGAGAAGCUGUGCAGAAAGAGCAACAUCUCUAGGAGUAGCUUUUACAAGUGAAGAGAGAUUGUGCAAGUGAAUAAAAGAAAGUCAGCGAUUCCAGGCAAGGGGAAUUGCAUGGUCAAAGGCACUAAGGUAUAAUGUGCCUGGCAAAUAGACUUCUGCAGGACUAGAGAGCUGGAUUUGUGGAGAGAUGGCAUAGUAGAAGCAGGCCCAGGCCACAUUAGCAAAAGUUUUUCUUGUACACCAUGUUAAAAGUCUGGGUUUUGUCUCCAAGACAAUUGUAGAACUCUUACAGUAAGGACUCUCUACAGAGAAAUGACAUAAUCUUAUUAACAUAAUAAUGUUUAAAAUAUCACUAUAGCAGCAGUAUGGAGAAUAGAAUGGUAAGGAAUUAAUACUGGACGCUGUUGCAAGAUUCUAGGCAAAAAAAUUUUUAGGAACUGAAUUAAGACUGUGGCUGUACAGGUAGGGAUAAAGAGAAGGAAGCAGAGUCAGGCGAUGAUAAACAGCGCUGGCAGAACUUGUGAAUCGCCUUGAUGGAGAGGAAAGAGGAAGAGAAUCGUCCAAGAUGACCCUAGGGUCUUGCAUUGAGUGACUGGGUAGAUGGUGGCUUAUUUUCCCCAAACAGGCAAUACAGGAGGAGAUACAGAUCUGGGGGGGUCUACCAAGGGAGAUAAUCCAUUUACUUUCCUAGUUGUAGAACUUAAGAGUACCUCUAAGGAGGAAGUCACAUUUACUAGCAUAUAAGAACCAUGAGAAUGGGGACCUUGUUGGUUUCAUUCACUAUGUCCUCAGUGCCUAGCACAGCACACAGCAGAUGAUAAAUCCUGGUAAAUUCUAGUCGAAUGUGUGUUCCUCGACACAGUUUUGGGUCCAGGUCUCAGCUAUUAUUCAAUGCUCUUUGGUUUUCUUCCAUAGAAAAUCCUAGAACCUCCUUUGAUGUUGACCGAGGUUGUCUUGCCUCCAGAAAUAAGAGAUUCUGCUCCAUGCUGGCGGGGAUUCUAGGUUUUGGAAGAGAGGAUGCAAUUAUGAGCAACGGGGAACUGUUAGUGAAAAAUUCACCAAGAAGUCAGAGAGUGCCUUUAAACUUCUUUCUACCCAGUGUUGUCCUAUUAAGAAAAUAAUGUCAGUUUCAGAGAGUGAUGUUUUAAAUAAAUAAGGCUAGCGUU